rnacentral:misc_RNA from 1 species
GAUGAAGAACGCAGCGAAAUGCGAUAAGUAGUGUGAAUUGCAGAAUUCAGUGAAUCAUCGAAUCUUUGAACGCACAUUGCGCCCUUUGGUAUUCCAAAGGGCAUGCCUGUUCGAGCGUCAUUUGUACCCUCAAGCUUUGCUUGGUGUUGGGCGUCUUGUCUCUAGCUUUGCUGGAGACUCGCCUUAAAGUAAUUGGCAGCCGGCCUACUGGUUUCGGAGCGCAGCACAAGUCGCACUCUCUAUCAGCAAAGGUCUAGCAUCCAUUAAGCCUUUUUUCAACUUUUGACCUCGGAUCAGGUAGGGAUACCCGCUGAACUUAAGCAUAUCAAUAAGCGGAGGA